rnacentral:rRNA from 1 species
CCCUUAGAUGUUCUGGGCUGCACGCGCGCUACACUGAUGCGCUCAACGAGUUUUAACCUUGCCUGGAAAGGUUGGGUAAUCUUUUUAAAACGCAUCGUGAUGGGGAUAGAUUAUUGCAAUUAUUAAUCUUCAACGAGGAAUUCCUAGUAAGCGCAAGUCAUCAGCUUGCGUUGAUUACGUCCCUGCCCUUUGUACACACCGCCCGUCGCUCCUACCGAUUGAAUGGUCCGGUGAAGCGUUUGGACUAUGGUUUUCUGAUGGUCCGCCGUUGGAUUACCGUGGGAAGUUCGUUAAACCUUAUCAUUUAGAGGAAGGAGAAGUCGUAACA